AGAGUUUGAUCCUGGCUCAGAUUGAACGCUGGCGGCGUGCCUAACACAUGCAAGUCGAGCGGUAACAGGUGUAGCAAUACAUGCUGACGAGCGGCGAACGGGUGAGUAAUGCUUCGGAAUCUACCCAAUGGUGGGGAAUAACCAGCCGAAAGGUUGGCUAAUACCGCAUACGUCCUACGGGAGAAAGCAGGGGAUCGUAAGACCUUGCGCCAAUGGAUGAGCCGAAGUCGGAUUAGCUAGUUGGUAGGGUAACGGCCUACCAAGGCGACGAUCCGUAGCUGGUCUGAGAGGACGACCAGCCACACUGGGACUGAGACACGGCCCAGACUCCUACGGGAGGCAGCAGUGGGGAAUAUUGGACAAUGGGGGAAACCCUGAUCCAGCGACGCCGCGUGUGUGAAGAAGGCCUGCGGGUUGUAAAGCACUUUUAGUGGGGAUGAAAUGUUCACGGCUAAUACCCGUGGAUUUUGACCUAACCCACAGAAAAAGCACCGGCUAACUCUGUGCCAGCAGCCGCGGUAAUACAGAGGGUGCAAGCGUUAAUCGGAAUUACUGGGCGUAAAGCGUGCGUAGACGGUUACAUAAGUCGGGUGUGAAAGCCCCGGGCUCAACCUGGGAAUUGCAUUCGAGACUGCGUAGCUAGGGUGCGGAAGAGGGAAGCGGAAUUUCCGGUGUAGCGGUGAAAUGCGUAGAUAUCGGAAGGAACACCAGUGGCGAAAGCGGCUUCCUGGUCCAGCACCGACGUUCAGGCACGAAAGCGUGGGGAGCAAACAGGAUUAGAUACCCCCGUAGUCC
rnacentral:rRNA from 1 species